rnacentral:rRNA from 1 species
UACGGGAGGCAGCAGUGGGGAAUAUUGCACAAUGGGGGAAACCCUGAUGCAGCGACGCCGCGUGAGCGAUGAAGUAUUUCGGUAUGUAAAGCUCUAUCAGCAGGGAAGAAAAUGACGGUACCUGACUAAGAAGCACCGGCUAAAUACGUGCCAGCAGCCGCGGUAAUACGUAUGGUGCAAGCGUUAUCCGGAUUUACUGGGUGUAAAGGGAGCGUAGACGGAGUGGCAAGUCUGAUGUGAAAACCCGGGGCUCAACCCCGGGACUGCAUUGGAAACUGUCAAUCUAGAGUACCGGAGAGGUAAGCGGAAUUCCUAGUGUAGCGGUGAAAUGCGUAGAUAUUAGGAGGAACACCAGUGGCGAAGGCGGCUUACUGGACGGUAACUGACGUUGAGGCUCGAAAGCGUGGGGAGCAAACAGGAUUAGAUACCCUGGUAGUCCACGCCGUAAACGAUGACUACUAGGUGUCGGGCAGCAAAGCUGUUCGGUGCCGCAGCAAACGCAAUAAGUAGUCCACCUGGGGAGUACGUUCGCAAGAAUGAAACUCAAAGGAAUUGACGGA